UCAAAGGUAUGCCGUACCGGCACCCUUUUUCUUUUUAAAAAGCGCUGCAUAUGCCUUGUAUGUUAAAUAUCUUACCAGAGGCAAUUGCCUGCCUCAAACAAAUUUAGGCUACAAUCCUAUACAGUAUUCAGUUACCUGGAACUAAGUCAAAUUGAUCUUGAUGGGACUUUCCUUUGAGUAGACGUGUAGGAUUGCAUUGUCAAGCUGCAUGAUAGACAUGCUUUCAUAUUUAAGUAAACUGUUAAUGUCUUUAAAGCUUGUAGCUUUACAUAUUUCUUUUGGUAACUGAAAAGAAGAGUUGAUGGGGGAGAUGUUCAGUCAUGUUGUAAUAAUAGCUGUCUAAUGUUUUAAAAUGCACAUUUUGUAAUAUGAAUUUGAAGGGGCUUUGUCACCUUAAAUCUGCCAAGAUUCUUUAGUGUUACUAUUUUUUAAGGCAUAAAGAAGAGAGUUACCAUAAUUAAGCAGCUGUGGGUUUGGAAGGGCAUUGUUUAAUUCUUUUUAUUGAGUUAUAAUAUUAUAUCAGGUCCAUAAUAACUAAAAAUGAACUGAAAAAUAUUAACAUAAUAAAAGAAAAACAAUUGCAGUGCUGAUUUAAAGCAAGAAUUUAUCUUUUUGAGAUCAUUUCAGAUGUAUGAUAAUUAAAAUGUCUCUAACAAAAUUAAAUAAUCUUUCUGUUUCAUAUUACUGUUCCAGGAUGUAGAGGCACAUGAGGAGAAAUGACCAAAGGAAAACAAGAAUUUAAGAAACUCAGAUAACUAGAACCAUUCAAAAGCUGGAGGUGGAAAGCUCCAUUGUCUCUGAAUAUUAACAUGAAUGCUUGGCCAUGGUACAAUCAGGAGGAGAACUUUAGGAUCAACAUUUUGGGCCACACAGCAGAAUGAGCAAACACAGCAUAUUUUGAAUUUCCUGGUCUGAAACCACUGGAAGCUCCAGGUCAUCGUUUCUUUUCCUGUAGACGACUCGUGAGAUCAGAGUUAUGAGAAACAUUUCCAUAAUGAGCAGCUGUUGGUCCAUAUCUGGCAAAUCAAAAGGGAACAAAAGAGCAAGAGGUUUAAGGACCAGGAAUGGAAAAAAGGACCAUACAGAGUGGAUCUUGCAGUCCUCACGCUCAGUGCAGAGAAUCCAGAGCUAGAGCAUCUGCAAAUGAUGGCUGUCCAAUUUCCGCAUCCUAGAAGAAUUCCAAGGCAGCACUCGGUCCAGAUAUGCAGACAAAUCAACUAUCACUGAAUGUGAGAGUGGGGAACAGACAUGGAAUGCAGAAGGAGAGAGACUUGAAGUAUGUACUUGGAAAUAACUGCAAUACUCCCAGGUGUGCCAUCCACCGCCUAUCACCCUGGACACAACCAAACAGCAGCAAUGGACACAGAAAGCAGCCUUCAUGGAGGUCAGCCUUCCAAGACCAGCAGACUCAUCUAUGUGCAAGAGAGCACUAGCCGUUCCAUUUCGGUUUUCAACUGCAUCUGUGUUAUUACCUAAUGGAGAAUGGAAGGUUACAUAUCAUCAGUACUCUAAGGAAUAUUCAAAAUACGGAAUCUAUACAUGGUCGUCCUAUGGUCAGGUGCGUCCUAUGGAGCGGAAAAAUAUGGUGAUCUGCACUUUCCCCACACAUCUGAAAGAAGCCUGAGUCAAAUAAAGGGAGAUACUAUGAAAGGUCAACAGAAUCAUCAGUUUCUGCCUUGACAGCAUCAUCCACUACAGAGAAAAACAAUAAAAUGGUCAAUCCAACAUAAACUGAUUACAACAGUGAAAAUACUGAUGAUGAUGCAGCACAACACAAUCCUACCUAUAAGUAUAUAUGAGUUGGUGCACACCUCUAUUUGUGCCACAACAGCUGAAAUGGAAUUCUAUGCAAGGCAAGCUCAUGCAGCCUGUCUCAUCAAUUUCCAUUCCACCCUGCUUGCUACAUCUUUUGUUUCUGCUAAUGCUAGGUUGCAACUUUACUGGGAAUGGGAUGGAGACACUGUGAGUCUGAGAACCACUGCUGAAGCCUCAGAAAACCCCUUCUACAGUUUGCCACAUGGCACAUUAAACAGAUACAUGAAUUUUGUAAAAAGUGGAUAUUUGAAUUUAGAAGCAUUUUUUUCAUUUUGCUUGACAAAAUGCUACAGACUGGCCAAGGCAACACCAAAUUAGGCAUCAAACUCACGACUUAAAAACUGGUAGAGCUUGUUUGGGAGGCUGAAAGCAAAGAAUGAGGUAUUCCACUGGCAUCAAUUACAGCUUCAGAGGCACAAUCUGCUACCAAAACUUCAGAAACUACAUCUUCUCCAAGAGAACCUGUGGCAAUUUCUGCUUCUACAACAUUAC